GACGAACGCUAGCGGCAGGCUUAACACAUGCAAGUCGAGCGCCAGGUUUCGGCCUGGAGCGGCGAACGGGUGAGUAACACGUAGGUCACGUACCCUAUGGUGGGGAAUACCCCGGGGAAACUCGGAUCAAUGCCCCAUAUGUCCGAAAGGAUGAAAGCGCUUCGGCGCGCCAGAGGAUCGGCCUGCGGCCCAUUAUUUAAUCCUAGUUGGUGAGGUAACGGCUCACCAAGGGUACGAUGGGUAGCUGGUCUGAGAGGACGAUCAGCCACACUGGAACUGAGACACGGUCCAGACUCCUACGGGAGGCAGCAGUGGGGAAUAUUGGACAAUGGGCGAAAGCCUGAUCCAGCCAUGCCGCGUGAGUGAUGAAGGCCUUCGGGUUGUAAAGCUCUGUCGUGGGGGAAGAAGUUCUGACGGUACCCCACAAGAAAGCACCGGCUAACUCCGUGCCAGCAGCCGCGGUAAAAC
rnacentral:rRNA from 1 species